rnacentral:misc_RNA from 1 species
GAUGAAGAACGUAGCGAAAUGCGAUAAGUAAUGUGAAUUGCAGAAUUCAGUGAAUCAUCGAAUCUUUGAACGCACAUUGCGCCCGCCAGUAUUCUGGCGGGCAUGCCUGUCUGAGCGUCAUUUCAACCCUCAUGCCCCUAGGGCGUGGUGUUGGGGAUCGGCCAAAGCCCGCGAGGGACGGCCGGCCCCUAAAUCUAGUGGCGGACCCGUCGUGGCCUCCUCUGCGAAGUAGUGAUAUUCCGCAUCGGAGAGCGACGAGCCCCUGCCGUUAAACCCCCAACUUUCCAAGGUUGACCUCAGAUCAGGUAGGAAUACCCGCUAAACUUAAGCAUAUCAAUAAGCGGAGGA